rnacentral:rRNA from 1 species
CACGGGGGGAGCAAGCGUUGUUCGGAAUCACUGGGCGUAAAGGGCGUGUAGGCGGACCACCAAGUCGGACGUGAAAGCCCUGAGCUCAACUCAGGAACUGCAUCCGAAACUGGCGGUCUGGAGUAGUGGAGAGGAAAGCAGAAUUCCUGGUGUAGAGGUGAAAUUCGUAGAUAUUGGGAAGAACACCGGUGGCGAAGGCGGCUACCUGGUCCGGUACUGACGCUCAGGUGCGAAAGCGUGGGGAGCAAACAGG